rfam:Gossypium raimondii chromosome 2, whole genome shotgun sequence.
AGACUAUGAUGUGGACAUCUUUGGAUCGACAUCUUAAAACGCUCCCAAGCUUCGUGAAAGCUUUCUCCUUCUAGUUGCUUAAAUGUAGCUAUUUCCCUCCUCAAUUG